rnacentral:rRNA from 1 species
AUGUACAGCCAUAUCACCCUGCAGCCCAAGACUGGUCGCCCACUGAAGCUAAGCAGGGUUGAGCCUGGUCAGUACCUGGAUGGGAGACCUCCUGGGAAAACUAGUGGCGCUUU